GACGAACGUUGGCGGCGUGCUUAAUACAUGCAAGUCAACUGAAGCAGUGGUAGCAAUAUCGCUGUGGAGGUGGCGCACGGGUGAGUAACACGUAGGUAAUCUGCCUUCAGGUCUGGCAUAACUCCGGGAAACCGGGGCUAAUAGCAGAUGAUGCAGCGGCGCGACAUCGAGACAGUUGUUAAAGCUAUGGCGCCUGAAGAUGAGCCUGCGUCUGAUUAGCUAGUUGGCGGGGUAACGGCCCACCAAGGCAACGAUCAGUAGCUGGUCUGAGAGGAUGAUCGACCACACUGGAACUGAGACACGGUCCAGACUACUACGGGAGGCAGCAGUAAGGAAUAUUGCUCAAUGGGAGAAAUCCUGAAGCAGCAACGCCGCGUGAGGGACGAAGGGCUUUUGCUUGUAAACCUCUGUAGUGAGAGAAAAAAAUCCCAAUCUUUGGGACAUGAUGGUAUCUCAAAAGUAAGCCCCGGCUAACUACGUG
rnacentral:rRNA from 1 species